AAAAUCAGUAUUGAAACAGAUUCAUUAAUUGAGACUGUCUUAUCUCACAAGCAAAACCAGAAUUAUACUUAUUAGCCUAAUUUUGUUUUUCUGUCUUUGUAUUUUAGAUAGCUGUUGUGAUCCUGCUUUUGUGUGGCUGUUUUUCGAAGUGCUUGAUAGCUUCUUUGACUACAGUUAUCAAUCUGUUGCUUGGGGUUUUAAAUUUCUGUGCAUAAUGCGUAAAAGGACUAGAGAUAGCAAACGAAAUCAGAUGAUGCAAGAAGCUCAUAGUUUUGCCAUUUCAAAUGGUAUAGAAAUCUCUUAUGAAAGUGUUUGUCUUGCCGAUGAUAAACAUAAAACCAGAGAAGAAAAUGUGUGAGAUUCUGACAAUUUACUAAUUAUCGGUUUGAAGAAGAAAAAAGCCCAAGGCAGUUCCAAAAUUGCCUCUCCUACUUCCACAUCAGAGUUUAUGCUCUUUCCUUUUCAAUUCAUUCAUCUCAUUAAUGUACACAUUAUAUACAUAAUAUUUCAUUGUUCACAACUUAUUUCCCCACUCAA